GUAAUCGACAAAACUGUUGCUUAGAUUGGUACGAACUGAAAUCCAAUUUCAUCAAGACUUCUACAGUUUCCUUCAAUCAAGGAGAAAUUAUGGAACCCGGGUUUUUUCGCGAGUUGAUCCGAUAGCCAUGUUGUGUUCUUUCUUAAGAUCCAAGGAUCAGUUCCCUUUGGGCGAACUCAGGUUUAAUUUUUUUUGUUUCAUUGCCUCGAUCUCACAACAGGUUCUAUAUACGAUAAAUCUGUGUUAUGCGUUACUCCGUUAUUCCUAUUUUUCCUGAUAAUUUACAAUCUAAUACCUUUGAGUUAAUAAGUAUUGAUUAACCACAAAAUUAACCCCAUAUAAACAGAGAUUUCACCGGCGUCUUCUUCUUCCAUUGACGUUGGCAAAACCUAGAUCCUUCUUCGCCGUGAAAUCCUGAUAUGACCAUCCAAUUAAAAGCCGGUCCUUCCUGGUCUUAGAAUCAGUCUCGCCGAGACACAUCGCCUCCUCAUCACCACAAUCAUGACCGCUUCUAAAUACGUUGAAGAUUUGAAAUUCAUAGCAAAAGUAGGUGGAUUAAAGACAGAGGAUUUGAGAUGUUUCUGUUCUCGAUGGGAUUCAAGUUGCAUGUUUAAAUCAAGGUGCAGUAGCAAUGGUGGUUUUGAUUCUAAUUUUCAAGAAUCCUGUCUAAGUGAUUGGAUGUUAGGUUACUUGAUCACGUUAUGUAGAGUUAUCCUCUACUGCAAAGACAAAAAAACAAAGCAAAUGAAAAAAACCUUCGUUUUUAUCUGUUAGGUCCCUCAGGUAAAACACAAGGCAAUUUUAUUUUGCUGUGAACAAAAACCAUUAGACGUGGAAAGCAAUCGUCUAGAAGACUUCUUAAAUAAGUGUUUCAAAUAAAUGAUUAUAUCUUUCUUUCUUUUUUUUGUAAACAAAAUAUCUUUCUUUUGUUUACUGAUUUCUACAUCAGAACAAUGUUAUAUAAAAAUAGGGAACAUAUCGUGUAUAAAAUAGACGUCAAUAGACUUUUUACUA